GAUGAACGCUGGCGGCGUGCCUAAUACAUGCAAGUCGAGCGAACAGACGAGGAGCUUGCUCCUCUGACGUUAGCGGCGGACGGGUGAGUAACACGUGGAUAACAUACCUAUAAGACUGGGAUAACUUCGGGAAACCGGAGCUAAUACCGGAUAAUAUAUUGAACCGCAUGGUUCAAUAGUGAAAGACGGUUUUGCUGUCACUUAUAGAUGGAUCCGCGCCGCAUUAGCUAGUUGGUAAGGUAACGGCUUACUAAGGCGACGAUGCGUAGCCGACCUGAGAGGGUGAUCGGCCACACUGGAACUGAGACACGGUCCAGACUCCUACGGGAGGCAGCAGUAGGGAAUCUUCCGCAAUGGGCGAAAGCCUGACGGAGCAACGCCGCGUGAGUGAUGAAGGUCUUCGGAUCGUAAAACUCUGUUAUUAGGGAAGAACAAAUGUGUAAGUAACUAUGCACGUCUUGACGGUACCUAAUCAGAAAGCCACGGCUAACUACGUG
rnacentral:rRNA from 1 species